CCAGACUCCUACGGGAGUCAGCAGUGGGGAAUAUUGCACAAUGGGGGAGACCCUGAUGCAGCGACGCCGCGUGGGUGAAGAAGUAUUUCGGUAUGUAAAGCCCUAUCAGCAGGGAAGAAGAAUGACGGUACCUGACUAAGAAGCACCGGCUAAAUACGUGCCAGCAGCCGCGGUAAUACGUAUGGUGCAAGCGUUAUCCGGAUUCACUGGGUGUAAAGGGGGCGCGGACGGCAGCGCAAGCCAGGAGUGAAAGCCCGGGGCCCAACCCCGGGACUGCUCUUGGAACUGCGCGGCUGGAGUGCAGGAGGGGCAGGCGGAAUUCCUGGUGUAGCGGUGAAAUGCGUAGAUAUCAGGAGGAACACCGGUGGCGAAGGCGGCCUGCUGGACUGCGACUGACGUUGAGGCCCGAAAGCGUGGGGAGCAAACAGGAUUAGAUACCCGGGUAA
rnacentral:rRNA from 1 species